GCGGAUUAGUGUAGUAGAAACACAAUUGGCUCAUGUCCAGUAAAGAAGAGUGCAAUUCUCUUGUCCGCA